GGGCUUGAACUCAAGACCCUGAGAUCAAGAGCAGAAAGCAAGAGUCUGAGGCUUCAUCCAGUGAGCCCCCCAGACACCCUGAUGAUGAUCUUUUAAUACAGAAAAUGAAAGUAAUGAUGACAACUUAGCCAAAGGAACACAGUUCUUUCUAACGGACAAUCAAGUGACAAUUCCAGGAGUUAAGCUCAUACUCUUCUGAUAGGAAAAUUUUGAAUCUCUUUAGAUAAACGUAAUUCAGAAUAUUUAUAAACUGUAUUAUCCUCUCAUUUAAAGGUAACCUAAGGUUUUGGGGGUGCCUGGGUGGCUCAGUCAGUGAAGUGUCUCCCUUCAGCUCAGGUCAUGAUCCCAGGGUCCUGGGAUCCAGCCCCACUUUGAGCUCCCUGCUCAGCGGGGAGCUUGCUUCUCCCUCUCCCUCUCCCUCUGCCCCUCUUCCCUGGUAUACUCUCUCUCUCUCUCUGGUAACAAAAUAUUUCAAUAAAUAAAUGUCAGUGAAUGAAGUUUCUAAUCAACCCAAAUUACUGUUAGCAAAGUUGCAAAGACAACUGCAUGUGCACAUUGGUAUGCUUUUUCUCUGGGAAUGUUUAGGUUUGGGAUACUUUCAUGUUUUCAGAAAGAGUUAUGUUUCCAUCUAAACCAAAAAGCAAGGAACAAUGAUGCUUUCAUAAAAUUUUAACAUUGCAAUACAAGCAUUUCUGAAAAAGGAGAAAAAGGAAAGGAGACAAGCAAGACCCCGAAACCUUAUAGGGUAUCACGUCUUGUCGUCUGGGCCGAACGGUUUACAGUAAACCAGAACCAAGUAGCAGAGCUGCCAGUACUUCUAUUGCACAGGGGUCUAGGUAAUACCUGGUAUGGACAAAAAUGGGGGGGGGGGCAAGAUUUUACUUAUCAAUAAGAUCAAAGAUACUAUGACAAGGAAGAUGAUGAAUCACAAAUCCCAAGUGUCCGGUAAAAAGGAGAUAGAGCCAGCAUCCACGAAAAGAGCUCGGGGAUCUGAAACAGGCCUAGGGAAAACCCAUUCACCUGAACAAAAGCCCUGACCAAUCCUGGGCUCGCCCUGGGGCCUAAAGACUCCCUAUGUCAACCACCACACACUCUCUGAGUUUUACAACCUGACUCGAUGCCUCCCAAAUUGCUUCACUAAGGAAAUACUAAGGUUUUCAUCGAGGUAUUCAUUAAUUAACAACUUGAAAGAAACAGGUACAUUUCCCAUGUUAUGAAAUUAUUUAGGUCUUAGACGCUCUGACACGUGGAUCCAAUUUAAAAUCUUCUAGUGGAAAAAGGGGUUGGGGCAUAAAAGCCCCCCUGAGACGCUGUCAGGGCAGAGAACUUUGCUGGCCCCUGGACACCACAAACUCGGAUUCCCAGUGAGCCUUUUCCCCUCCUGCUAUUUACAGUCACUCAGAGCCCAGCUGACCUCCACACAGGGAACUAGGAAUGCCAUCUCCUUCUAUGAGAAUAUGCACCUGACUCCCACGCGAGAAAAACUUAGCAGGGCUGUUUCAGCGGUGGUCAUUGUGCAGAGGCUCAUUUUCUCGAUUCCUAUGAGCAAACUCAGUCAUGAAGGUACUUUGGCUUACUAUAUUACAAACAGAAUUACUCCUUGAAAAUAAGAAAGACUUUAGAAUGAACUUGCAAAUUAAUCGGAGUCUAUUAUUUUGGAAUGUGAAUUGAAUGUGUUAUGUUUAGUUCUUUAUAUUUAAGUGUACAAGACUUCAGAAAUACAGGAGUGUUCUUAGUACCUUUUAAGUAAGUUCAUACAAAUUUAGGGACAAAAAAAACCCAAAAACAUGUUCUUCCGCGAGCCGUCAUUUCAGGUAUUCUUGAAGUCAAACAUAUACAUUUGAAAUGAUCUGACUUUGUGCUUAAUGACAGUCAUGCAGACAAAAUUUACCGGUUCAUCAAACUAUAGUGCAAGUAUAUGAAUUUAUUUGUAAUAAAUUAUCAUUUUUGCAUAUAUCAGUCAAAGCACAAGGCCUAAACACUUGCAACCAAAAUGAAUUAUUAAUUUAAUUGUCACAAAACAUGAGAGACACCUAAGUCUGGGAAAUGAACAAGGGGUAGUGGAAGGGGAGGUGGGUGGGGGGUUGGGGUGACUGGGUGACGGGCACUGAGGGGGGCACUUGGUGGGAUGAGCACUGGGUGUUAUGCUAUAUGUUGGCAAAUUGAACUCCAAGAAAAAAAUUUAAUUGUCACAGCCUAUUUGGCGAAGUUCUAUUACUAUUUGCUAUAAUAUGCAAUGCAUAAGGGGGAGAAUCAAAUUGAAAACCUAAAAAAGUAAGCCGAUUAUUUUGUCCUGGAGAAAUUAAAAUACAGCAAGCUGACAAAAUCAGAGCCAAGGCAUUCAUGUUUUAAAUAGGUAAAAACAAAACAAACAAACAAACAAACAAAAACAAUGUUUACCUUAACUUAAAGAACAGUUGUGCCCAAAGGGAAGGUUCAACCUGCUGAUAAAGAGUUCUUUUGUUUCCAGAAACCAUGAAAAGGCCUCAAUUCCCUCUCCAAGGUAGGAAGGAGGGUGGAAUGGGAGCUCUUUGGCACUGGCUUUGCUACUUGACUGUGACUCUCCCCAGCUAAGCAGGUCUACUGGGAGAGGACACUGCUGUGGGGCUCCGGGCCUUCUGACUUGGUAUUUUUGUGCAGAGAGAGGGAGCACCCCAGAAACAGGUGUCCUAAACCAGAAGGCUUCUGAAACACAGAGGUCUUUGGAAUAACAAUUCAAUGGAAGAUGCUCAGUUGAGAGGAACUCAACAGCCUGGACUACAUGGGGGUCAGGACCCAGAAGACGGUGUAUUUUCCCUCUUGAGGUUCCUUUCUUGAUUUAGAAGCAAAACCGGAUUAAUGCCAGGGAAAAGGCUUAGCACCUCUCAAAGGGUAG
rnacentral:lncRNA from 1 species